rnacentral:rRNA from 1 species
UUAAGUGACUAAGCGUACACGGUGGAUGCCUUGGCAGUCAGAGGCGAUGAAAGACGUAGUAACUUGCGAUAAGCCCAGAUUAGGUAGUAACAACCUUUUGAGUCUGGGAUUUCUGAAUGGGGAAACCCACGUGCAUAAGCACGUAUCAUUAACUGAAUACAUAGGUUAAUGAGGCGAACUCGGGGAACUGAAACAUCUAAGUACCCGAAGGAAAAGAAAUCAACCGAGAUUCCGAAAGUAGCGGCGAGCGAAAUUGGACUAGCCCUUAAGCUUUUAAUGAGACAGGUGAAGGCUCUGGAAAGUGCCGCGAUACAGGGUGAUAGCCCCGUAACCGACAUCUCAUCAUCAGUGAAAUCGAGUAGGGCGGGACACGUGAUAUCCUGUCUGAAUAUGGGGGGACCAUCCUCCAAGGCUAAAUACUACUGACUGACCGAUAGUGAACCAGUACCGUGAGGGAAAGGCGAAAAGAACCCCUGUGAGGGGAGUGAAAUAGAACCUGAAACCGUGUACGUACAAGCAGUAGGAGCCCACUUGUUGGGUGACUGCGUACCUUUUGUAUAAUGGGUCAGCGACUUAUAUUCAGUAGCAAGGUUAACCAUCUAGGGGAGCCGUAGAGAAAUCGAGUCUUAACUGGGCGUCGAGUUGCUGGAUAUAGACCCGAAACCAGGUGAUCUAGCCAUGGGCAGGUUGAAGGUUGAGUAACAUCAACUGGAGGACCGAACCGACUAAUGUUGAAAAAUUAGCGGAUGACUUGUGGCUAGGGGUGAAAGGCCAAUCAAACCUGGAGAUAGCUGGUUCUCCCCGAAAUCUAUUUAGGUAGAGCCUCGGACGAAUACUACUGGGGGUAGAGCACUGUUAAGGCUAGGGGGUCAUCCCGACUUACCAACCCUUUGCAAACUCCGAAUACCAGUAAGUACUAUCCGGGAGACACACGGCGGGUGCUAACGUCCGUCGUGGAGAGGGAAACAACCCAGACCGCCAGCUAAGGUCCCAAAGUAUAGCUAAGUGGGAAACGAUGUGGGAAGGCUUAGACAGCUAGGAUGUUGGCUUAGAAGCAGCCAUCAUUUAAAGAAAGCGUAAUAGCUCACUAGUCGAGUCGGCCUGCGCGGAAGAUGUAACGGGGCUAAGCUAUACACCGAAGCUGCGGCAAUACAGUUUACUGUAUUGGGUAGGGGAGCGUUCUGUAAGCCGUUGAAGGUGAGUCGUAAGGCUUGCUGGAGGUAUCAGAAGUGCGAAUGCUGACAUGAGUAACGAUAAUGGGGGUGAAAAACCCCCACGCCGGAAGACCAAGGGUUCCUGUCCAACGUUAAUCGGGGCAGGGUAAGUCGACUCCUAAGGCGAGGCCGAAAGGCGUAGUCGAUGGGAAACGGGUUAAUAUUCCCGUACUUCUUACAAUUGCGAUGGGGGGACGGAGAAGGCUAGGUGGGCCUGGCGACGGUUGUCCAGGUUCAAGUGCGUAGGCGGAAGGUUUAGGUAAAUCCGGACUUUCAUAACGCUGAGACACGAUGUCGAGCAUCUACGGAUGUGAAGUCAUUGAUGCCAUGCUUCCAGGAAAAGCCUCUAAGCUUCAGAUUGUAAGGAAUCGUACCCCAAACCGACACAGGUGGUCGGGUAGAGAAUACCAAGGCGCUUGAGAGAACUCGGGUGAAGGAACUAGGCAAAAUGGUACCGUAACUUCGGGAGAAGGUACGCUCUUGACGGUGAAGUCCCUCGCGGAUGGAGCUAUUGAGAGUCGCAGAUACCAGGUGGCUGCAACUGUUUAUUAAAAACACAGCACUGUGCAAAAUCGUAAGAUGACGUAUACGGUGUGACGCCUGCCCGGUGCCGGAAGGUUAAUUGAUGGGGUUAGACUUCGGUCGACGCUCUUGAUCGAAGCCCCGGUAAACGGCGGCCGUAACUAUAACGGUCCUAAGGUAGCGAAAUUCCUUGUCGGGUAAGUUCCGACCUGCACGAAUGGCGUAAUGAUGGCCACGCUGUCUCCACCCGAGACUCAGUGAAAUUGAAAUCGCUGUGAAGAUGCAGUGUACCCGCGGCUAGACGGAAAGACCCCGUGAACCUUUACUACAGCUUGGCACUGAACAUUGACCCUACAUGUGUAGGAUAGGUGGGAGACUUUGAAGCCGGUACGCCAGUAUCGGUGGAGUCAACCUUGAAAUACCACCCUUGUAGUGUUGAUGUUCUAACUUAGCCCCAUUAUCUGGGGUGAGGACAGUGCCUGGUGGGUAGUUUGACUGGGGCGGUCUCCUCCCAAAGAGUAACGGAGGAGCACGAAGGUGGGCUAAACACGGUUGGACAUCGUGUGGUUAGUGCAAUGGCAUAAGCCCGCUUGACUGCGAGAAUGACAAUUCGAGCAGGUGCGAAAGCAGGUCAUAGUGAUCCGGUGGUUCUGAAUGGAAGGGCCAUCGCUCAACGGAUAAAAGGUACUCCGGGGAUAACAGGCUGAUACCGCCCAAGAGUUCAUAUCGACGGCGGUGUUUGGCACCUCGAUGUCGGCUCAUCACAUCCUGGGGCUGAAGUCGGUCCCAAGGGUAUGGCUGUUCGCCAUUUAAAGUGGUACGCGAGCUGGGUUUAGAACGUCGUGAGACAGUUCGGUCCCUAUCUGCCGUGGGCGUUGGAAGAUUGAAGGGGGCUGCUCCUAGUACGAGAGGACCGGAGUGGACGAACCUCUGGUGUUCGGGUUGUCACGCCAGUGGCAUUGCCCGGUAGCUAAGUUCGGAAUCGAUAAGCGCUGAAAGCAUCUAAGCGCGAAGCGAGCCCUGAGAUGAGUCUUCCCUGGCACUUUAAGUGUCCUAAAGGGUUGUUCAAGACUAGAACGUUGAUAGGCAGGGUGUGUAAGUGCUGCGAGGCAUUGAGCUAACCUGUACUAAUUGCCCGUGAGGCUUAACCAU